rnacentral:tRNA from 1 species
GAGGGUGUUGCUCCAUGGUAGAGUGUGUGUCUAUCAUGCAUGAGGUCCUGGGUUUAAUCCCCAGUCCCUCCA